rnacentral:SRP_RNA from 2 species
CGGUCCUCCCGCAACGCUAGACCGCAAACCCCGCCAGGCCCGGAAGGGAGCAACGGUAGUGGUGGACGCGUGUGCCGGGAUGUGGCUGU